rnacentral:lncRNA from 1 species
CAAGCAUUCCUAAAGGGUCUCUACUUUUUGUAGCCUGGGGAUUUUCUACUCCCCCAACAGCCAGAUGAGGCAGAAACCCCUACAGACAUCCCUAUGUGCCUCCUGUGCAAGUGCAGUUGCCCCUUGAAGGCAGUUCUCCUGCUGCAGACCACGCCCACCAAGGGCAGAGUCACAGCCACUGCAGCUGAGCUCAGAGCCUUCUGUGGGGUCUGCAGGGGCAAGGCCAGCUGUCCCCUGGGAUAGUUUGAAGAAUGCAGUUUGUUUGUAUAAUAAAG